AGAGUUUGAUCCUGGCUCAGAACGAACGUUGGCGGCGUGGAUUAGGCAUGCAAGUCGAACGAAUCCCGGUAGCAAUAUCGGGGGAAGUGGCGAAAGGGGCAGUAAGGCGUGGAUAACCUACCCUGGGGACUGGGAUAGCCUUCCUAACGGAAGGGUAAUACUGGGCGAUCUGGCGAGCAGACAUCUGUUUGUCAGGAAAUGAAUUUCGCCUCGGGAGGGGUCCACGUGCUAUUAGCUUGUUGGCGGGGUAACGGCCCACCAAGGCGAAGAUGGCUAGCGGGUGUGAGAGCACGACCCGCGCCACUGGCACUGAGACACUGGCCAGACUCCUACGGGAGGCUGCAGUCGAGGAUCUUCGGCAAUGGGCGCAAGCCUGACCGAGCGACGCCGCGUGUGCGAUGAAGGCCUUCGGGUUGUAAAGCACUGUCGAGGGGGAGAAAGCCGCAAGGUUGAUCGACCCCUGGAGGAAGCACGGGCUAAGUUCGUGCCAGCAGCCGCGGUAAGACGAACCGUGCGAACGUUGUUCGGAAUCACUGGGCUUAAAGGGCGCGUAGGCGGGUGGCCAAGUCGGUGGUGAAAUCCUCCAGCUCAACUGGAGAAUUGCCUUCGAUACUGGUCGUCUGGAGGGGGGUAGGGGCAGACGGAACUUCCGGUGGAGCGGUGAAAUGCGUAGAUAUCGGAAGGAACGCCGGCGGCGAAAGCGGUCUGCUGGACCCCCACUGACGCUGAGGCGCGAAAGCCAGGGGAGCAAACGGGAUUAGAUACCCCGGUAGUCCUGGCCCUAAACGAUGAGAACUAGGUUGUGGACUUGACAUGGGUUCACAGCCGAAGCCAAAGUGCUAAGUUCUCCGCCUGGGGAGUAUGGUCGCAAGGCUGAAACUCAAAGGAAUUGACGGGGGCUCACACAAGCGGUGAGCAUGUGGCUUAAUUCGAGGCUACGCGAAGAACUAUCCUGACUUGACAUGUGCGAAAGCGUUAGCAGUAGACCCGAAACGGACGACGUAUCAAUCGAGGCUAAUACAGGUGCUGCAUGCUGUCGUCAGCUCGGUUCUGAGAAUGUCCGUUAGUCCAUACGAGGCAUCUUGUCCUCAGUUGCAACGAUAAGUUCGGGACCUGAGACUGCGGUCAAGCGAGAGGCGUAUGACGUCUCAAUCCCUCCAG
rnacentral:rRNA from 1 species